GCCUGACUGGCUCAGUAGGUGGAGCAUGGGACCCUUGAUCCUGGGGUUGUGAGUUCAAGCCCCAUAUUGGGUG
rnacentral:tRNA from 1 species